rnacentral:pre_miRNA from 1 species
AUCACCUGGGGAUCUUAUUAAAAUGCAGAUUUUGAAUGCGUAGGUGGAGGGGGUGGGAGCUGACAGUCUGCAUUUCUAAUAAGUUCCCAGGUGAUGCUGA